rnacentral:rRNA from 1 species
GAUGACGCUGGCGGCAGGCCUAACACAUGCAAGUCGAACGAGUGGCGGACGGGUGAGUAAUGUCUGGGAAACUGCCUGAUGGAGGGGGAUAACUACUGGAAACGGUAGCUAAUACCGCAUACCAUCGGCUUUGCCCAGAUGGGAUUAGCUAGUCGGUGGGGUAACGGAUCACCUAGGCGACGAUCCCUAGCUGUUCUGAGAGGAUGACCAGCCACACGGGAACGUGGACACGGUCCAGACUCGUACGGGAGGCAGCAGUGGGGAAUAUUGCAAAAUGGGGGCAAGCCUGAUGCAGCCAUGCCGCGUGGAUGAAGAAGGCCUGCGGGUUGUAAAGUACUGUCAGCGGGGAGGCGUUACCCACAGAAGAAGCACCGGCUAACUCCGUGCCAGCAGCCGCGGUAAUAC